AUUUUUGUUGGCCAUCAGGGUGCUGCCUGCCCUGCCUCACCCAUGGGGGGACAGCUGACACCUGCAGGCAGGUUAUCUUGAUGGAAACUAAGGCUAAAAGGGCACAACAAAUCAAGGCAAGGAAUUUGCAUGUGUAGCCCACAAUGUAUUUUCUGUAGAGGAUUUGUACUUGUUCAUCUAGUGGUGUUUCUUCAUUUAAGAUCAUCUACAUUCAGCAGGAUGCUGAACAAGAAGUGGUGGCAUCCUUUGCCAACCCUCAGUGUUCUUACAAUAUGGUGCAUAGUGAGCAAGACUAUCAUACGUCGCCCUUCUUUGCCUUGAAUUCUCUUCUUUCCAUUUCUGUCUGUCCUUCCCUGUUCGUUUUUCUAUCUAUGUGAUUUAGCAAGUAACAAAAUGCCAUGCCCAUUUUCACGCAGCCUGCAGUUCCCCUUCUCAGAGCCAUAUGCACCCACUGCUCUGCCCUAGUCCUGCCCAGCCCUCCUGGUGCCUGCAUCAUUGCUUGGAAUGAACAGGCAACAUUAUUAUGACAGUUGAACACAGAAAAAAAAUAUUUUCAAUUAUAAAUGUUCAGAAUUCUACCAAAAAAAAAAAAAAAAGAAGAGAUCAAACGUUUUUUUAGGUCUUUGACAUCUUUGAAUAUGUGUUAGACAAAGGAAAAGGAAAAGUGCUUCCAGAAACUCAUAAAACCUUUCCUUUCUGGUGGCAGAAUUUGUAAAAUUUGAGUAUCUCCUCUAACCUUAACCUUAGGUGACCCACUAAACUCAGAGAAGUCUUUGCUGGAACAACAGAAGACAUUUGGUGUUUCAGGUGCUGGCUUUUGUGUACCACUAUACUAUUUGCUUGCACAAAGGCACUCCUCUCCAAAGUGAGAUAAAUUGUUUUGUUGCUUCCAUGUGAAGCACAUGAACUGCUCUCCCACCUUCUGACUGACAUUGGAAAGGCAAUGGUCUGCCUUGAAUAGCCCUACCUCACCUGCUGGAGCCCUCUGCCCCCGUGCAGAGCUGGGUUGGAGCAGGCACUGGGGCCAACUGCAGUCCACUGAAUGCAGCUGAGAUGGAUCCACCAAUGGAAGAGUUCCUGCAGCACGGAUGGACGCACUCAGGGUACCCACCACCACGAAACACCAUGCAACAGAGUCUUGAGCCUCACUCUAAUAUCAUGCGUGCUGCAUUCAACCGACAUAAAGGCAAACAGAAAGGCUGAAUUUACGCCAGCAAGUCACAGUAAGCCGUGCAUUGGCAAAAUAUUUAAUCGUGCUGAAAUUGGAGGCCGGAUCCUCCCACGUGGCUUUAUUUUGGCAUUGCAAACUGCACAUCUUCGAAAGCUUCUCCGGGAGCAGUGGCAAAACCUUACACUGAGGACUAGUUCUGAUUUGUGGAGGAUAUGGAAGAGAAGUGGGAAGAAAGAAAGCUGCUGCUGUUUGGCGGCUUGUUGUUUGGGGUUUUUUUCUUCUUCGCUUUAGGCAAAUGAAAGGAAUAAGUUCACUUAUAAUUGCUUUCAUGUAAAGAAAAGUUAAUAGAAAUUUUAAUAACAGUAGCAGCUUAGGAGAGUUUGAGGCCAUGACACGUGCAGUGCAAUGGAGGCAGCUCCUGCAGCAGGCUGCAGCUGCCCAUUGCUAUGGCUCUGCUUGGGGCACAGGGGGAGAGCUCCGGGAGAAUUCAGAAGGGUUCAUUCUGCCCUGGUUUUGUGUAGCCCUGCGUGCCCAUUGCAUACACAGAACACCAUGUAGCAGCAGUGUGACCAUUAGUCACUAUGUCAGUGUACAUAAAAAGGAACAGGCUCAGUAAUAUAUAUGAUGAACUUUUACUGAUUGUCGUAUGUGCCCUUCUGAGCUCUUCCCCUCUGGGAUCCACAGCAUCAGUGCUUCCUUCCCUUUCUCUUGGGCAGCAGCAGCAGCAUUUCUGUCCUGCUGGUACUGCAGGCACCAUGGCUGUUUGCUUUUCCUGCCAGGCAGCAAGCCAGCACUGAGGUCAGACUAUUCCCAGGAUGGAUGCAAGGUCCUGGUGUCAGCACUGCUCACAGCAGUGUUGCAUACAUCAGCUCAACUCCUGCAGCCUCCUGUGCCUUCUGAGCCUCCCAUGCAUUGAGGCCACCACCUCCCAUGAGGAUGAAGGGGAGGAAGAGUGGGGUGCAACCAUGCACGCCCCAUUGGCAGAAGCACCUGGGGGUCUUCACUGACCAACACUGUGAAGGGCACUGUUAUUGUGUGUGCACUGUCCUUGUAGACUCACCUCAGCAGUGAUCUCACACCACUGUGCACUUUCCUGGCACACUGACAAUCCCAGUGAGCAGCUGCAGUUCCAUGGUGGCUACAUUAAGAAUGUGACUUCUACAGCCAUCACUGCGGCCAUCAGCAGUGGAUGUCUGCCGUGCAAAGGGACGUGCGUGCCAACAGCAAGCACCUGGGCAUGGAAAGCUGGUUGCUGUUACUGUAAGUGAACCCUUCAGUUUGUAAGUGUGAGGAAACUGGAGAAGUUUAUGAAAGAAGAAAAAGGAUGGGGUACCGGGAGACAAAAGACUCAUCGCCUUGCAGGAAAGGGAUGAAUACAGGAGAAGAGGAGAUGGAUUGGAGCUCGUUUUGAAGGCAGAAGGAGCCAUCCCCAAGUCAGCUUCCUGCACUUCCAGUGACAUUUAUAGAAGUGAACAGAGAUUCCACUGAUUUCACUUUUGACCAUCAGCCUGAACGCGUCCUCCCAACUGGAAGGGCUUUUUUCACCUUGAUGAUCCUUGAGGUCCCUUCCAACCCAAGCCGUUCCAUGAUUCUGUGAUUCACCGACUGCAUCACAUCCAAUAAGGAAUCCCAGUGCAGCGCUGAAGCAACCCUCCUUCAUCUUCAUAUUUUGCUCCAGGAGCCCAAAUUACGGCUGGGUCACCAGGCUGGAUGGCUCUCUGCAAACAUGGAUGCAACAGAGCAAGGCCACAUGCAGAGCCAGCUCCUACAGCGCCUACGGGCUCUCUCCUGGCAUUAAGAAGGUUUGCAACAUGUGAGCUGUGACAGCUGCAGCACAGCAAACUGUGUGCGGUGAGGGUACAAAAAGAAAUGUCCUCACAGGUCCUGCUCUGCUCGUCCGGAGUCUGCAAAGGGUCAGAGCAGUGCUGCUCCGCAUGGCUUCCAACUUUAUUUCUCCCAUUGCAUAACGCUAGAGAAAUAGCUAAAGACAGCAAAAUGCAUUGCUCCUCUGCUGCUCAGGCUAAUCAUGGCACGUCACCCAAGGAAGGUAUUUUCUUUUCAUAGAAUCGUAGAAUCGCAUAAUGUCCUGGGUUGAAAAGGACCACAAUGCUCAUCCAGUUCCAACCCCCUGCUAUGUGCAGGGUCACCAACCAGCAGACCAGGCUGCCCAGAGCCACAUCCAGCCUGGCCUUGAAUGCCUGCAGGGAUGGGGCAUCCACAACUUCUUUUUUAAGGACGGAGGAUGUUACCUGACUUCAGUGACUCUGCAUUGCUGGGAGCAGUGAUUCCUGUGCUCAGUACCUGCUCCUGCCCCCUGGAAACCCAUGGGCUGUGCUCCUGCCUGGGACCGGGGUCUGCCCAUGUCACUGCACGCUGAGUGUCACACUCAGACAGGAGUACAUCUUGCUCCCUGCAACAAAUGCUUUCUUCCUGGUGAGAUGUCUAAAAGGAAAAUGUCUAUUUGCACUAUAUAUAAAAUCUCUAAAAUAGGCAAUUUAUUCAUUUCCCCUUCACUUUUAUUACACCUCAAAGGAGAAAUCUGUUGCACAGUUUCUGUAUUUUAAUCAUCCGUGAAAAAUUCAAUUAAUAUGCAGUUAAUGUCUUGUCACUUUCACUAAUAUUAGGCAAUGGGAUUGAAGGGAUGUAAAGCAUGCACGGCUCACAGAGAUAGUUUGCAGAUUUAUAACGUGUACACUUGAAAUUAGUCCUUGAAAAUAUGCUCUGGGGUGGCCAGGUCCUGUGGUGGGGUCAGUCACAGCAGUGCCCCCAUUCCCAGUGCUGUACCUUCUGCUGCAGAAGCACGUGAGCUAAAACGUGCUGAAUUGUCACUCUCCUUAUUCCUUCCAUAUUCUUCUCAUAAACUUUUUAAAACUCCACUUAAAGCCUAUGUUGUUGAUGGACUUCGAUGGAAUGGAAGUGUUUCAGAUGCACCAGGUAGGUUAAUCUGUCUGAUUAAAUCAUUCUUCAUACUUCAGAUCAAAUACCUUCGGUUGCGCAGUGGUAGUGCUAAGAAGGGCUUCUUGAGUUCUGCUGGGGAGAUGUGAUUCUGCCCCUACGUCUCCCUAAUUGAGGAGCUGUUUUGUGUCCACUAUAUGUCACUUCUGUGCAGGUCGUACUGCUCGAGGAACAUCUGAGACACCAAAUAUGCCAUUCCUUUCUUCCCAGAAUGAUUUAAAAGUUACUCUGGGUCCAAAGGAGGGAACAGCAGCUCCUUCCACCCAGCAGCCACUCUCCAUCAGACAGCACCAGGAGCCAGUCUGUGCCUGGCUGCUGACUCCUGCAGGACUGAUGCUGGGCUUAUAUGCAGUCUCCUGCACGCUCUGCAAGCAGCUGUAAGUAAACCAUAAGAGAGAACUGUCAGGCAAACCUGGCAACCCGCUUUGCCCCUUCACCUCCUUUAUAAAAUGGGAAUGAUGGGUGUAUCAUCACCACGCGCACAUGGAGUGGGUUUAUGAGAGCUACAAGUGAGGAUGCUCGCUCUGUAUUUAGAAGGAGCAGGUUAAGUUUUUAUUAUUAUUGAAUUCUUAUGUUUCAGAAUGCUCAGCUCGGAGAGAUUUUUAUUAAACUCAUCUGUCAGAAUAGAAAUACUUCCUGGAGAAGGCUGGAUUGUAAGGGACGUAUUCGAUGAAUGCGCACAUAUUAUGUCCAUAAAUGUUUGUUAGAAAAAUUAUUCCCAACAGAUCUGACAGAGAUAUGAAAAAUUAGAUCACAAAUCUCAUUAACGACAGAGCCACUGAAAGAGGGAUGAAGCCAAUUACUGUCGAUAUUACUUGUCAGAAGAAUGUCAUGGCUCUCGUCUCGAUGCCGGUCACAUAUCUCUCUGUUGAAAUAACUCCGCAGAUGACUCCUUUUCUCCCAUCAGCAGUGAAUGAAAGAAGUUUCCACUUUUCUUAUGCACAUCCUGUUACCUCCGUUAUCCGAGAGAUGCACUGUUAAUGCUGUGAAAGGUCGGGUGACUGCGGGACCGCACUCAUUGACCCCAUGUGCCCCUCCGCUCCCACCUCCUGCUGGCACUUCCGUGCAGUGAGGCAUCAGGCUGCUCUGUCACCAUGACAACUUUGCUUUUCAUGACAAAAGCAGUCUGUCGGUAGGGAUUUGAGCACUCUGUAAACGUGGCUACUGAGCAUCACUCACUUUGUCACCGGGAAAAAGCAAAAAUCCUAAACAAGUGCUUCUAACUGGGAAGUAAAAGGAAUGUUCCAUGUGAGGGACCUGUAGUGGCAAUGCUAAGUAACGGCCUGAAGCAGUGAUUGAGCACCUGGUGGGAAGGCAGGGCCAGCCCAGGGGAUCUCAGGUGCAUGCAAUGCAAUGCAAUGCAGUGCAAUACAAUGCAGCUGAGUGACCAGAAGGGUGGAGUCAGGAUCCUCCUCUUCCCAGGCCUCAUUUAAGGGCUGGCAGUGGAGGUGAAAGCAUCUUGCUUGAGAUCUCUGCUCCCUGGAGGCCUUCUAAAGAGCACAGCAGAAGAUAAUCAUAAGGAUGCCAGGACGUAUUCUAAGUGGAGAAACAUUGGCAGUGGAUGUCACUGGAGCAAGAUCCUGGAGACUGUGGAGACUUCUGGGAAGGAAGGAGGUUGUGAGCAUCGCUGUCACGGCUGAGCAGCCGGCUGCUCCGAGGGGUUAGUAUAAGUAAAAUAAAAGAGGCGGGGAGAACAAUGGCUGCAUGUGUUCUCCUAUCUAGCAAUGCAUUGUCAGUGCAUCAACGUUAAUUUUUAAAUGGGAUAUUUACAUUGUACAAUGAAGUAAAUGUACCUCAUGUUCUUAUUCUGACUCUUAAUCCCAAGGCCUGUGGCUCCUUAAGUCUCAUUUGUUUAUCACCUCAAAGUUACAGUCUGGAUUUUAGCAGUGAUCAGACUGAAGUUACCCUCAGGGUUUUAUUCCCACAGUCCCAGAAGCUCUCUUCAGACAGGUCUUUAUUUGUUGAAGUGUAUUUAUUAUCCACUUGAACUUCUUUGAGCAGAUCGUAUUGAAAAUGAGAACUGCAUGAGGCUGUUCCUACUGCUUGCAGCUCAACAUGCACUGAAAUGGUUAAAUUCAGCACUUCAUUUUUGCAAAUGCUCUCUCAAAUUAUUUUGGCUUUUGUGAAAUUUUCUUCCCUCCGGCUUCAUUUGCUGGCAUAUCUAAAAACACUUACACACGCAUAACUGAAAUCCAACACAUCGAUGGCUAUUAACCUGUUGGAUGUUACCUAAUGAGCCCAUAUGUUGUACUGUCAUUCAGUUACUGUGACAGAAGGAUGACAUGGAAAUGCUGACAUGUAUCUCUGUUGUUUAAUGCAGACACAGCGUAACUCAUUAUUUUGUGCAGCAAACUGAAGUCUCUAAUGCCUGCAAAACUGAAAGGGUGCUACAGUAACUGCUUGUCAGAAACAGAACAAAAUCUGCCUUUCCUGUGCGCAUAUAAAAAUACAGGUGACUCUACAAGCAGCUCAAUUUGUCACUCAGCCCCAUCCAGGGCUUUUCAAAGUGAGCUUUUAAUUCUCUGUGGCUGCCUAACAGAAAUCCCACCACGUCUGUGUGAACUGAAAGAACCGCACGUUUCUCCAACUGUGACCCCAAAUAGGUAUUAAUGCAGCUGUUACAUCCCAAAUACUUCUCUAACAGUUCUCAGAUUGUUCUCCCCAUUCAGUUACAGCAGUCUGGAUGGAAAUAGAGAAGAAAACAAGUGCUAACCUCGUAGAGCAGUUGUGGAUGGGUGAGUAGCAGCCCAGGGGCAGCAUUUGCUUUAGGUCCUCCUCAUGGAAUUAGGGUCAUUACUGUGAUUUACUAAGAAACAUAUGUGCAAGUAUGCACUGAAACUGCAGAAAAUAGAAUUUUAGAAGCUUAUUCAGCAGUGGAUUUCAGCAUACAGAUGCUGGAUAUAAUAUACUCGCACUAAAUUGGAUUCUGGGUGAAUAAAGGAGCUGCUCUUAAAUUCAGCUUAGAGCCCUGCUCAGCACUCAGUUUGAAAUACACAGCCUUUUUGUUUCGCUUUUGCAACUUAUUCAAUAAAUAUUUUGGCAUGCCUGUCUGUUACACUGCCUUAAUCUUCUCUUCAACUGAGCAGAAAUUAGCAUUUGUAAUUUAUUCGCCAAGGGAAACUAAAAAGGCUUUGCACCAGAGUGAAAUUGAAUGCCCAACAGAUAACCAGAAUGCUGAGUCAGCACAAUGUGCAUUUGACAAAUAUGCCCUUUGCCUGCACCUAACUUAAUGGACCACAUGGCAAAGAGUGGGGGGCAAGCGUUUAAGCUUUUAUAUGUGACUUGCUGGAAUGGUGCAGGGCUGUGGUGGCUCACCGCGCAGUGCCAUCAUCCCCUCUUCAUGGCCCAUGACCAAUGGCCAUGCCAUUCAAGUCCAUUUUUCAUUUCAAGCAAAUCACAAGAUGCCCGUUUUGUAUAAUAAAUAACAGUUAGACCAGUGUUUCAGUUAUCCUACUAAGAAACAAAGUCUGUAAUCAGCUUGAUUUCCUUUUUUUCCCCUCAAUCCAACCCCAUGCAGGUUUAAUUAACCCUAAAAAAAGCAAGCCAAAUACCCACUCAAUAGAUUUCAGUGACUAGAUAGCAGGUUCACCCUUGGGAUGACUCGUAUAGCUCAUUAUUAGAAUCACAGAACCAUUCUGGCUGGAAAAGCUGUCUGAGACCCCCACCCUACCUGUGCCCACUGGCCCCCCCUCAGUGCCACAUCCCCGCAGCUCUGAACACCUCCAUGGACAGGGACUGCCCACCCCUGGGCAGCUGUGCCAGCGCCUGGCUGCUCUCUGGAGCAGACAUUGCUCUGACAGCCAACCUGACCCUCCCUGUACAGUCUGAGGCCAUUCCCCUCUCAUCUUAUUGCUGGGGCAGAGUCCAACCCCCACUUCACUACAUGCUUCUUUCAGGGAGUUGAAGUCACAUCCUGGAGUCGAUAAGGAGCAGUUUGAGCCAUGCCCUUGGCCCCUCUCCUUACAUAAGAGAUGAAUUUUUGGCACAGAGUGCUGUUUUGGUUGCACCUGUUUCUUAUUUGGUCUCAUGAAUCAUUUGGGGCAUUGUUAUGAGGCAGGCCAAUAAGACAGACAUAUGCCAAUUAGGGCUGUUCUGAGAAGCAGUCACAAUGCAUGUGGUUUAUGAGUGCUAAUGUCAUUGAUUUCUGCCUUUUCAAUGAGCUAGCCAGCACUCUGCAUAGAGAAUUUAUAAUCAGAAACAUCCCUCCCUAUUGGCACAUGGAUAGGGCCUGACUUUUAUUGCAGCAGCGUUUGAUCGAUGCAGCGAUAUGCCGUGUGGGGUGGUGAGCAAUGGGUCUCAUUCUGCCAUACGUGGAGCAGGAGGCACUCCCAGCACAACAGCAGAAUACCGGCGUACUUCAAUGCACAGUUACCUGCUUGCUGGAGAAGGGAGGCAUGAAGCUGUUCCCCCCUCGUGUCCCACUUGCACACACUCACGUUUACAGCACAGUCGCAUAGCAGCCAAUGCUUGCUGAAAAACAAAGUAAGAAAAAGGAGUGCAAAAUGUACAACUAUUACUCUGCAUAAGAAAAUUAUGGAAAGAGAAACCAGCAUAGAUUGACAGUGUGUGGGGGGGCAGAUGAGUACUUACUCUUUCCAGCACGAAUUGCUUUGGUUUUUUCUUCCUUUUUAGUUUGUUAUAACCAUAACUUUAUUUAAAUGUCGCUUUUCUUUCCAGCGUGGCUGUGGUAAUUUCUUAGAGAACAUAUUUUAAUGGCCUGGCUGUACGCACAGGAUUUCUGUUUGUUUCUGUAAUUGCUUCUUAAUUAUUUUCCAAUUGCUGAAACAACAGUUUCCACAGUUUAUUAAAAAGCGUUUUUGAAAGCUUUACCCGAAGGCAUUGUCAACAUUUUAUUACUAUCACUAACAGCCAGCACAAAUGAAUAAUCACCAGCCCUGGUAGCUCGUGUCAAGCAGUAGAGAGCUGUCAGAGCCUUAUGUAGAAAUUAGGGUGAUGUAGGAAUUGGGAUGCAUUCACUGUGCUUCCAGGUUGGAGCAGCCCCAUUCCCACCAUGGGAAUGGAUUAACUUUAACCCCAAUGGCAUCUCUCUUUUAGGUGUGAUGUCACUAACAGAGAUAACAUCACUGUGUUUGGAAGGAGAAAUACUCUCAGAAAUCUUAAAAAUAACAUUACAGCAACUUUCUUUUGUUGUUUAAGCCACUUUUGCCCCCACACAUAUAUUGUAGGGAAAAACUGGCCUGAUCCGUGUGGUUAUAACAACCUAUUGUACGUUGUUAUAUGUAUUGUUAUAUGUACAACCUAUAUGUAUUGUAUAACAGCCUACAAUAGGUUGUUAUAACCAGCACUGGGUAGCCUCUGUAGCAGCAGCCUGCUCCCCUAGCCAUGUGCAGAGGUGCCCUUCCUGCAGAACUUUGCCAAGGAUGGAACCAAGAUUUACUGUCAGAGCAGUGAGCUGCUGCCCAACACAGUACCGCAUCCCCCCCAACCCCAUCACUGCCCCCCAUGCCACCUCUACCUACCAGUAAUUCAUGCCAUCUCCUCGAAGGACAGAAGUCGUCAGUUCCCACGUCUUCUCAAACUUAAGUAUUCAAAAUACCUAGAAAUUAGUCAGAAGUUUUAGGACAAAGGGUUCAGGGUGGGAAUUUGCAGGAUAAAGGACAGGUUUACCAAAUCUCCCACUGCUUAAAACAAAAGAAAAGUGGAAAACUUCAAGAUGUGUCUAUCACAAAAUAUUUCUUUCAAACAAAAAUAAAGAAAAGAGGGAUCAAAGUUGGUAAUUGGCAUUCUUUUCAUUCCAAUUUGCUGCUAUUUUCAAGCUCCUAAUUUCUCCUCUAUUGUUGAAUAGGAUCGUUUUGCUUUCCAAACCACCCUCCCCCCCCAGCAGCCCUGAGCACACACAGCCCUCCUUCUGCCUCCAGGCUGUGGUGCAGCUACAUCUCACUUCAGAGCAUCCUCCCCCUUUCAGCCAGCACCCACAGUUUCUGCCUGCUGAUUCAAGGGCUGGGAAAGAGAAAACCCACUUGAACUCCUUGGGGCUGGAGCAGCACGAAGGUAAAGCCUCAGGUCUCUCUCUCCGUUCUUUCAUAACAGUGCCAUCUUUUCAAGUAGGAUUUAUUAGAAACAGCAGCUUCAUUUCUAUACAGGUGGGAAAUAAAUGCUUUGCUUAUAUUCUCUUCCUAUACUCUUCUCAUAACCUAAAUCAUAUAAAUGAUUCCUCAUUUGCCUUUAUCAGCUAUGAGAAGAGUAUUGGCUGGAUAUAAAACUCUCAUUUUAAUACUUUGAUUGGGAAAUGCUAUGAGAGGAACCGAUGCCUUGAAGGCAUUAUGAGCUUUGGUGAAGCAGAAGUUCUCCAAUUUGUGCAGCAGCAGAGAGGUGCCCUCACCCCUGAGCAGGAUGCAAUAGCUCAAUAUAAACACAAAUGUAUGGAGGUUGAACACAUGGAACACAGCACUGUGAUUGCAGGGUGACGUGAUGAGGUUGGCACAUAAUUUACUAACGAACAUAAACAGCAGCUGACCUGCAGAUACAAGAAGGAUACAUGAGUGGUUCAUCACAGCUGACGCUUUGCUGCCCUCCUGUAUCCCACGUGCUGAGAAAGGAAACGCGCUUGAAUGCUUCCCCAUUCUGCCCAUACAGCACUGAGAGUCUCAUCACAAUACAGAGUUGAGUUGUUGGUUUCUCCUGUACAGCUUGAAUCAGCGUAUCACUAUCCAAAGGGACAAACCAGAAAGCAUGUCAGGCUGCCAAACAGCGAGCAGGUGCUGCAGCCAGGUCCUGAAAGGGAUAUGGGCUCAGCCCUGGGCUGCCAGGAGGGGAUGGAGCCCUCCACCCACCUCAGUAGUCCAGGGACAGUUACUUACAAGAGAGAGUCUUAAACUGUUAAAAAAGUUUCCAAUAAAACUGUUUUCAUAAAAAACCUGCUUGAUUUUAUCGAUUGUUGCAGAUUAUACAGAGGUAUAGGCACACAUUUCUAUCACAGAAUCACUGGAGGUGCAGAAUUUACUGUCUGAAUGCCUGUCACACAUCUGUGUCUUUAAACCUGAACACUGCUUGCUCCACGAAGCACAUAAUUCUCCUAUUUAUGCAAAGCACUCCUAAACCCUCUGCAUUCUUUGUCCAGGUCAUUUUGCAGCACUUGGCACCUGCCUGAUCUUUUCCUUUGAUGAAUUUAUUAGAAUGCAUGCAAGCUCUGUGAUGAUAGUCAAAUGCAGCUGCAGAGUGAUAAUAUUUUAUACACGUGUAUGUAUUAAUGUUUAUACAGAAUCAAAGAAUGAAUUAUAGAAUGGCCUGGGUUGAAAAAGAUCUCAAAGAUCAUCCAGUUCCAACCCCCUGCUACGUGCAGGGUCACCAACCACCAGACCAGGCUGCCCAGAGCCACAUCCUGCCUGGCCAUAUAUACAUACAUGAUGUUGGGCUGCCCAGCCCAUAGCAGCCCCAAGCACCUCCAUCCCAUGUCCAGCAAGGGACAGGCAGACCUUUGACAUUAUACCACACUCCAACAGCCCGGAGGAAAUACUGGGCUGUGAACUGUCAAUGGAGGUGUGCCCACCAUUGUAUUGAUAUUUUCAUGGAAACAUUGUCCUUCAUACACUGAAAGGUUUCCUACUGAGACAACAGGGAGUACCUCUGGCUACCCUGAACACCACUAACAGCAGAGUCCUACAGGCACACCUAUUAGAAGCAGAUGUGUUUUGGCUUCAGCAGAUCACAUAGAAGCUGUUGGAAACAGCUGAGUGAUACCUCCUAGAUAAACCCAAGGUAUUUACUGGAACUAAGCAGAAGCAUUAUUAUUUAGUAUCGAUCCCCCUGUGAUGAACCAUACUUUACAAGGUCACUCUAAAACACGAGCAAUGAUUCCAAUGUUAAGACAUCCUUCUCUUUGUAAUGGGAUAAUCACAGUCAUUCCUCCCACUGCCCUGCAGUGCAGCUUCCUGCAUGGAAGAGAUCUUGGCUUAUUUGUACACCAGCAGACCUGCAAACAGCCAAUAUACCGUAUCAGAACUGAAGGCAUCCUCAGUGCAUCAUGAUCUGCACUGCAGCAACAGAUGCCUUCCUUACCCAGACAGUUCACUGUGGAAGGGCAGGGAGUACUCAUCACAACUCACUUUUGACCCAGCAGCAUGAGUUAAAGGUUAUCUCAUGGAGCAUUGCACUGCCUGCUAAGGCUGUGGGACUGCAACGAGAUAACAGAGAAUUCUGAAUAAUAAUUGAAAACUCCGUGCUGAAAUCAAUGCGAUUAGACUAUAUCGAUGUAGAUAUUUCUUUUAUCUAUAAGGCACAAUUAAAAAAUUGACCUUUACACAGAUCUCAAGUGUCAGUCUCAUUGUGAAGUUCACAGCUGUCAAUGCCUGAACUGAAUAUUGCAAACAUGCAAAAAAAAAAAUACUCCCUGCUAAAGUGCUCAGCAGCUCAUUUGCAAAGCUUGUUUUCUAUUAGACAAAACAACACACAGCCUCUAAAAAGGCUCUCAAUGGAAUGCCAGCUCAGGGUGGGCUCACAGAGCACACUGAUGCCAGCUUCCUACCAGCUGCCCCCAGAACACAUCAGCCCUCACCAUUGACUGCACCACCUUCCCCUCCUCCUCAGUAUCACAAACCUCAGCCACUGCCUCCAUGCUCUGCAGAAGCAGAGCUGAGCAGAUGGGUAUUGGGGGCAGAAAGCAGGAUAGUGAAGCAACAAACUUGUGCUGGUCUCUAUUCUGGCUCCCAGCAUGGAUGCCUCAGCGUGACCUGGUGCCCAGAGUGGCAGAGAAGGGCUCUUUGUUUGACUUAUCCACCCAUUAUAUGCGCAUAAAUGACCCUGAGAGUACUUUGAAAUGAAAUUCCAUAGCACACUUUCAGUACCAAAUAAUACACAGAGCUUACAUUAGUCUCAAAGCAAUAUUCGCCCAUGAAAAUGAAGCUGCAAAUGUGACACUGGCUGCUUUUAAAGAGCUUUCCUAUUCCAUCCCAAAAUGCCGGUGACUCAAAAUGACAGCACACCCCAUCCAUCACUGUGUGGCCCUGUGUGUUCUCCAGCAAAAACGUGCUUGAAGAACACAAAUAGAAAGCACUGCUGUAGAGGUGUGCCAGCCCUCAGACCAUUCCCAAGCUCAGUGCAUCGUUUAAGCCCCAGUACCUCAUUCAGCUGCCAGUUCUGCUUACCCACGACUGAUAACCACAGAACCAUAAGGGUUGAAAGGGACCUCUGGAGAUCACCAAGGCCAAUCUCCAAAUUAUAACUCAUCUUUCAGAUAUGAUAGAAGCUGCUUCACAAGAAGUAGUUGAGAUACUGAAGCAUUACGUGGUUAUUUAAAAUACAGUUAGGUUGUGGCCUUCCUUGUUGCCUCAGCCAGAGUGGUGUGGCAGUCCUGGUGUUAAAACCACCAUGGAGAAGAGGCAGGCACAGAUAUGAGGAGUUCUUCCAACACGAGGCAGGGCAGAAGAGGCAUCUGCAGUUGGAAUGGAGAGAGAGAGGAAAACAGUGAAAAAUAAGGGAGUAAUUCCCCAAAAUGCCAGUGCUGACUAGAGUGUGCCCAUGGGAGCAGUGCAAUGUGUGCCAUUAUGCGGGAGCAAUGCCUCCUCCCAAUUAGGGGAUCCAAAGGCUGAGGACCUCCUCACCCCAUCAAACUGCUGGAAGCAUCGGUGUUACUUAACUAACAAGGAAUAGAGGGAAGCUGCUGCUUGUCAGAAGCUCAGCACCAGGAGGGCAGCCGCAGUGCCCAUGGAUUCAGUUCCUUCACCCAUUGUAGGGCUGCCUCCAAGCUGCGAUUAAUUCUCGUGCUCUGAACUGCAGAUAAUGAAUUGACUUCAUGCCCAGGUGUAAAACAUAGCCCACAGAAACACAAUUUCUGCUCAAAUUCAGACCUAAUGGAGACCAGAAACCAGUUACAUAAAUGAAUACCUGUUUCUUUAAAAGAGUAUCAUUUGAUUUGCCUAAAGGUGACAGAAAAGGAGGGUGAUGGGGUAUGGCAGUGUGCCAUGAGAUGCAUGAUAGAUUAUAGCCCUACACUGUGUUUAUUUGAACAAAUGUUGUGACAACCCCCAGAAAUUUGAUUAGAUCCACAUUUUUUGCUUGUCGUACAACACGGUAUCAUUUCGUGUCAUCUUGGAGGACACAGGCAAUCAUUUAUCAGAAUUAAGUGCACACACUAAUAAAAUCAUUUC
ensembl:lncRNA